rnacentral:rRNA from 1 species
AAUGAACGCUGGCGGCAGGCCUAACACAUGCAAGUCGAACGGGACCUUCGGGUCUAGUGGCGGACGGGUGAGUAACGCGUGGGAACGUGCCCUUUUCUACGGAAUAGCCUCGGGAAACUGGGAGUAAUACCGUAUAAGCUCGAGAGAGGAAAGAUUUAUCGGGAGAGGAUCGGCCCGCGUUGGAUUAGGUAGUUGGUGGGGUAAUGGCCUACCAAGCCGACGAUCCAUAGCUGGUUUGAGAGGAUGAUCAGCCACACUGGGACUGAGACACGGCCCAGACUCCUACGGGAGGGAGCAGUGGGGAAUCUUAGACAAUGGGGGAAACCCUGAUCUAGCCAUGCCGCGUGAUCGAUGAAGGCCUUAGGGUUGUAAAGAUCUUUCAGAUGGGAAGAUAAUGACGGUACCAUCAGAAGAAGCCCCGGCUAACUCCGUGCCAGCCGCCGCGGUAA